AAAAAGGAAACCAGACAGCCAUUCAUCCUAACAAGUAACAAUAACUUAAGAACAACAUGACAAUGAAUAAGCCAUGAUCGUAGGGUGAGCUACCACUUGAAUGUUAACCAUAAUUUAGCAUAAAUAAAGUGCCAAGCAGGGUUUUAAUUUAAAUAACAGAAUUGGAAUGAGAAGAUUGUUGCAGAUGCGGACCAAAUCAGACUGAACUGGCCAUUGAUACCAUGAGUUUUUUCAAACAAUUCACAA
rnacentral:misc_RNA from 1 species